ACCUGACGCAGCGACGCCGCGUGAGGGAUGAAGGCCUUCGGGUUGUAAACCUCUGGUCAGGGGGGAAGAAUCCGGAGUCGGUGAAUACCCGACUCCACUGACGGUACCCCCAGAGGAAGCACCGGCUAACUCCGUGCCAGCAGCCGCGGUAAGACGGAGGGUGCAAACGUUGUUCGGAAUCACUGGGCGUAAAUGGCGCGUAGGCGGACUCGUAAGUCGGGAGUGAAAACUCGGGGCUCAACCCCGAGCCUGCUUCUGAAACUGCGAGUCUUGAGGACCGGAGAGGAAAGUGGAAUUCCUAGUGUAGCGGUGGAAUGCGUAGAUAUUAGGAAGAACACCAGUGGCGAAGGCGACUUUCUGGACGGUUUCUGACGCUGAGGCGCGAAAGCUAGGGGAGCAAACAGGAUUAGAUACCCUGGUAGUCCUAGCCGUAAACGAUGAGUGCUAGGUGGUGGUAGUUUCAACACUUUCACCGCCGCAGCCAACGCAUUAAGCACUCCGCCUGGGGAGUACGGCCGCAAGGUUG
rnacentral:rRNA from 1 species